GAAAUGCGAUAAUUAAUGUGAAUUGUAGAAUUCAGUGAAUCAUCGAGUCUUUGAACGCACAUUGCGCCCCCUGGUAUUCCGGGGGGCAUGCCUGUCCGAGCGUCAUUGCUGCCCUCAAGCACGGCUUGUGUGUUGGGCUUCCGUCCCUGGCAACGGGGACGGGCCCAAAAGGCAGUGGCGGCACCAUGUCUGGUCCUCGAGCGUAUGGGGCUUUGUCACCCGCUCCCGUAGGUCCAGCUGGCAGCUAGCCUCGCAACCAAUCUUUUUAACCAGGUUGACCUCGGAUCAGGUAGGGAUACCCGCUGAACUUAAGC
rnacentral:misc_RNA from 1 species